rnacentral:rRNA from 1 species
GGUAGUCGUUACCGGGAACCGUUAAUCUUAACCGGGAACCGUAAAGUUUGAUCUUGGUUCCUGAAAUCCGUAACGGAGGGACCCGAAACACGUGGGUAACCUGCCUGUAAGACUGGGAUAACUCCGGGAAACCGGGGCUAAUACCGGAUAACACCUACCCCCGCAUGGGGGAAGGUUGAAAGGUGGCUUCGGCUAUCACUUACAGAUGGACCCGCGGCGAUUACUAGUUGGUGAGGUAAUGGCUCACCAAGGCGACGAUGCGUAGCCGACCUGAAGGGUGAUCGGCCACACUGGGACUGAACACGGCCAACUCCUACGGGAGGCAGCAUAGGAAUCUUCCGCAAUGGACGAAAGUCUGACGGAGCAACGCCCCGUGAGUGAAAAGGUUUUCGGAUCCCAAAACUCUGUUGUUAGGGAAGAACAAGUGCCGUUCGAAUACGGCGGCCCCUUGCCGGUACCUAACA